rnacentral:rRNA from 1 species
UACGAAGGGGGCUAGCGUUGCUCGGAAUGACUGGGCGUAAAGGGCGCGUAGGCGGAUGGCACAGUCAGAUGUGAAAUUCCCGGGCUUAACCUGGGGGCUGCAUUUGAUACGUGUUGUCUUGAGUUCGGAAGAGGGUCGUGGAAUUCCCAGUGUAGAGGUGAAAUUCGUAGAUAUUGGGAAGAACACCGGUGGCGAAGGCGGCGACCUGGUCCGACACUGACACUGAGGCACGAAAGCGUGGGGAGCAAACAGG